GGCGCCGCGCGACAGGCCCAAGCAGCCGUGGGCGUCGCGUCGAGCAGCGAGUGCGAGGUUUGCUUGCAGGAUCUUGCCGAAUGCUGCUCUCUCGAAAGACAAGCGGGAGUUGAGUCUCGUCGAUCAGAGUCGAGUUGAAUCGAAUCCCUCACUCAGUAAUGUCAAUUUUACCUGGGAAAGAAACGAAACCAAUCGAUUGUAUGUGAAAGAGAUGAGCAAGGUUAGACUGGAAGUAACGGACGUCGCUUGUAAACAAAGUUAGUAAGUGAAGUUAACGGCGAUGAGAUUACAUAUUUGAUUAUCGGCCGGUCCACUGCUCAAGGAACGGGGGAUGGCGGAACGGAGGAAAUGGUCCGUGUCCAUCCGUUCCGCUAUUUUAGCGCCAUGUCCCGGGCCGAGACGGUUAUGAAGCAGGCGCGCGCUUAAGAGCUCGUCGUUUCAUCCCGUCGACGAAGAUGUUUUCCGCGCGAAGUCACUCACAGCACGUACACGAUAUCGUCGUUAGAUAGGAUGCAUUUGGAUAAGGUGACACGGGAAAUGCAUUCAGCAUCUCGUCCGGGACGACGGAAAUCGACGCGUUUUGGAAGAAAAACGACAGUUUGCUGGAGAGGUCAGGCUACGCCUCCCGUGCAAAGAUACGUUUCUCUCUGAGACGACGUGAGGCCGCUGGUAUGAAGGAAACGUAGGAAGUAGAGGAAGACAUCGAAGGUGUACUCGGCACAGCAACAAGAUGGUAAUAUCAACGACAAAUCGUGCGUGCCAAAUAUUUUAGUUCGAGGUACGAAAAUAAUUUUUCCCGUGCGACUGUCAAUUUACCUGGUCAGUGCCGGGCGGCUUUCUCCUGCGCUUGCAAGCUCGCUAUCGCCUUGCCCGUGCCGUAGAGCACCUUCGCCCGCACCUGGACUCUCCUCGUGGUCGUACAGGCCGUUCCAGAUGCGGCGGACGAACUUCCGGUGUUGCCACCGGCAGUCGUGCCCAACUGCUGCAGAGUGCCACCCGCAUAAUUCGCCCCUCUGCAACUCGUGCAACCCUCCGACAUGAUGCCGCCGUCGUUGAUUGUCGCAAAGCUGCCCUAAACAAAUAGCAAUCUCGCGAUAAUCACAAAUCUGAUAAAAAUUGCGCUUAUAGACGAUGCCGGUCGACGAUCUACUUUGUGAACGCCAGAUAUUUUUAUUUCGUAUUUUUCCGGGCUUUACACGGAAUAGAAAGUUUGGUUGGAUCAGCGAAAUUUCCGGUGAGAUAUGAACAGACCCGAAAUUCCAGUUGAAUUGUUACCAGAAUUUUGUUUGUUCGUAUCUCACCAGAAAUUUGGCUAAUCCAACCAAAAAUGUUCUCCAUGCAAUUUUUCUCUCUCUUUAAUUUUUCUGAUCGGAUAUUUUUCCCAAAUUUUGCUGGGAGUUCCUUUGCUUACUGUUAUAUAAUACAAUUUCAGAAAAAUAAUAGCUCGUAUUCAUCCUAGACAAUUUAUAGUAAGCGUGCUCGCUCUGCGAGUAAUCCGGAGACAGUUUUUCACGCUGUGAAAAGAAACAACAUCUACAACGCGUAUGCCGAGCAAAUGCAGAGGUCAGGGCGGCCUGAAUAGCAGAACGGAAGGAAAGCAUAAAAUGCCUUUGACGGUUAUAAACGUCGUAUUGUGUGUCACAACGUCCAUAAUGCCGGACAUAACCGUCGCAGUGUCGGUUAAUAUAUUAAGUGCCGCGUCAUGCGCGUACAUUCGCGAAUUUCUCUCGAGAAUCAUAAUUUCACAUCUCGCUUGUGUCUGCGAGCGCAAAUAAUUUUUGACACAACGCGACAGUGGAGAUGCAAUUUUCGCUCUGCGCUCGUCUUCUUCAAUCUUUAAUUAACUCGGAUGACUUAACCGAACGCUGCUCUCUGGAUCAAUCGAUAGUCAUAAUUAGCGAUAGCGGUAAUUAAUUAAUUAGAGCUUGUUACUGCGCUGCGAAGACUGUCUGUUCCCAAGUCGAUAUUUUGGCUCUAUAAUAAACUCCUAUAAUUCUACAAUGCAGUAUAAGCUAAGUUAUAGUUAGAGAGAGCAAAGUAGGUUUAAUUCUAACAAUACAAUUUACUUCUACUUUGACUCUGAUGAUGUUUGAAAAUUCUGUUUCCACUUUCUUUAGCGUCAAAAUAGGUUGUAUUAUAGACUUCAGAAUAUCAAAGUAGAAUGUUAAAUAGAAUGAUGAUAAAAAUUUCGACUCAGGGUUUUAAAGUUCCUUUGCAAAUUAAGCCUUCUUACCCAGAAAUAACAUCACUAAUCUCGAGAGCCGCGUGCGCUACUAGGCGCGACGGAUAUUAAUUAACAGCUUGGUAACAUUGCGUAAUUACAACACAGGCGACUUUUUGCCAUUUCUUCGCAGUUGAAGGCAAUCGUCGGCAGUCUGUUAUAACGCGCAGCGCGCGGCUCUGACCCGACUCUGUCGCGCGCGCGCGCGCGCGCGCGUUCACCAUAAAUCCGGGAAAAUCUGGGUUAAUUAUACUAAUGGCAAUAUAUGGCGAGCCUCUGUGCGUACCGGUGACCUUACCGGAAAAAGGCGAAACUCCGCGUAACCUCCUUGCCUGGUCUGUUAAAAUGGAUUCUACGAAGGAGUGUAGUUGAAUGUGCAAAAAGAGCGAACGCAAGAACCACACGAGUAAGAUUAAUCGCGCGUCACGUUGCUUUCCACACAAUAAUACGCGACGCAAAAGAAAUCCCCCAUCAUACUUUGAACAUUCGACAUCUCGGACGUGCGUGAAGAAAUUGCUCGUCUGCCCCGUUACAUCGCGACCAAGUUUUUGUCAAAAGACACCACGAGAGAGAAGUGAGAAAAGUUGUCUCACGACCGAAGGGUAGUUAUCAAAAGUCCAACAACACAUUUUGACAGUUUGAUUUCGCACUCGUUUGAUUUCGUAGCUCGCGUUUCUCGUUCGCAAACACUCCACAAGUCGAAAUGCAAAACCGUCUU